UGGGGAAUAUUGCACAAUGGGCGCAAGCCUGAUGCAGCCAUGCCGCGUGUAUGAAGAAGGCCUUCGGGUUGUAAAGUACUUUCAGCGGGGAGGAAGGGAGUAAAGUUAAUACCUUUGCUCAUUGACGUUACCCGCAGAAGAAGCACCGGCUAACUCCGUGCCAGCAGCCGCGGUAAUACGGAGGGUGCAAGCGUUAAUCGGAAUUACUGGGCGUAAAGCGCACGCAGGCGGUUGAUUGAGUCAGAUGUGAAAUCCCCGGGCUUAACCCGGGAAUUGCAUCCGAUACUGGUCAGCUAGAGUCUUGUAGAGGGGGGUAGAAUUCCAUGUGUAGCGGUGAAAUGCGUAGAGAUGUGGAGGAAUACCGGUGGCGAAGGCGGCCCCCUGGACAAAGACUGACGCUCAGGUGCGAAAGCGUGGGGAGCAAACAGG
rnacentral:rRNA from 1 species